rnacentral:rRNA from 1 species
UAACGCGUGGGUAACCUGCCNCAUACAGGGGGAUAACAGUUAGAAAUGACUGCUAAUACCGCAUAAGACCACGGUACCGCAUGGUACAGUGGUAAAAACUCCGGUGGUAUGAGAUGGACCCGCGUCUGAUUAGGUAGUUGGUGGGGUAACGGCCUACCAAGCCGACGAUCAGUAGCCGACCUGAGAGGGUGACCGGCCACAUUGGGACUGAGACACGGCCCAGACUCCUACGGGAGGCAGCAGUGGGGAAUAUUGCACAAUGGAGGAAACUCUGAUGCAGCGACGCCGCGUGAAGGAUGAAGUAUUUCGGUAUGUAAACUUCUAUCANCAGGGAAGAAAAUGACGGUACCUGACUAAGAAGCCCCGGCUAACUACGUGCCAGCAGCCGCGGUAAUACGUAGGGGGCAAGCGUUAUCCGGAUUUACUGGGUGUAAAGGGAGCGUAGACGGCACGGCAAGCCAGAUGUGAAAGCCUGGGGCUCAACCCCGGGACUGCAUUUGGAACUGCUGAGCUAGAGUGUCGGAGAGGCAAGUGGAAUUCCUAGUGUAGCGGUGAAAUGCGUAGAUAUUAGGAGGAACACCAGUGGCGAAGGCGGCUUGCUGGACGAUGACUGACGUUGAGGCUCGACAGCGUGGGGGAGCAAACAGGAUUAGAUACCCUGGUAGUCCACGCCGUAAACGAUGACUGCUAGGUGU